AGACGGGCAGCGGCGCGCUUGCUGCGGCGUCCGCUCCGCCCGAGCCUAGUAAUGGGGCGAGGCGUCGCGGCGGUGUUCCUGCACGCCUUGUCGGCCUUGGAGCUAGCCUUGGCGGGUGCGGGCCAAGGCGUCGCGGCGGAGGACGAUAAGCAGACGGGCACGCGCCACCGGCGCGCUUGCCAUGGGCAUCCGCUUCGCCCGAGCCCAGGAGUGGAGCGAGGCGUCGCGGUGGCAUUCCUACGCGCCUUGUCGCCCUUGAAGCUGGCCUUGGCGGGCCGAGGUGUCGCAGCGGAGGACGACAAGGCGGCCGUCGUGCUCUGUUGGGGCGAGGCAUCGCGGCCCUUCGGCUCCGGCAGAUGACGGCAGAGAGCCAGGUGUGGCUUGGCGUCUCCAAGAGCCACGAGGUCGUCGGUGCCGGCCAUCGCGCCAGGCUGGACCAGCUGCUGCAGCCCCCCUGCGCCGUCGCCAUCGCCAUGGCACAAGAAGCGUGAUAUUCCUAAUGGUUGCUGUCGACGCUAAAAAAAUUACUCCUGAAGCACUAGAAGUGCCCUCUCUAUGGCGCAUCACUCACUGGAUCCAGAUGGGCAACAUUCCGCUUCAAGAUUAAAGA